rnacentral:rRNA from 1 species
GACGAACGCUGGCGGCGUGCCUAAUACAUGCAAGUCGAACGCUGAGGGCUGGUAUUUGUACCAUGUGCAAGUGGCGAACGGGUGAGUAACACGUGAGUAACCUGCCCUUUAGAGCGGGAUAACUCAUGGAAACACGAGCUAAUACCGCAUAGAAAAACCUGAUGCAUGACGUUUGAUGGAGAGAUACGCCAGUGCGGCACGCAAACGUGACUUCGCGUUGUAUUAGCGAGUUGGUGGGGUAAAGGCUCACCGACGCGAAGACAAAUAGCGGACCUGAGAGGGUGAUCGGCCACAUUGGGACUGAGAGACGGCCCACACUGCGACGGGAGGAAGCAGUAGGGAACCUCGGGAAAUGGACGUAAGUAUGACCGAGCAACGCCGCGUGAGUGAAGAAGGUUUCCGGAUCGUAAAGAUCUGUUGGUAGAGAAGAACGACCGUUAGAGUGGAAAGCGCAGCGUGUGACGGUAUCUUACCAGAAAGGGACGGCUAACUACGUG